rnacentral:rRNA from 1 species
AUACGGAGGAUCCGAGCGUUAUCCGGAUUUAUUGGGUUUAAAGGGUGCGCAGGCGGCCAUUUAAGUCAGCGGUUAAAUCGUGGGGCUCAACCCCAUUCUGCCGUUGAUACUGGGUGGCUUGAUUGCGGUCGAGGUUGGCGGAAUUCGUUGUGUAGCGGUGAAAUGCAUAGAUAUGACGAAGAACACCGAUUGCGUAGGCAGCUGACCAGACCGCAAAUGACGCUCAUGCACGAAAGUGCGGGGAUCGAACAGGAUUAGAUACCCUGGUAGUCCGCACAGCAAACGAUGAAUACUUGUUUUCGGCGAUAUAAUGUCGGAGGCAAAGCGAAAGCGAUAAGUAUUCCACCUGGGGAGUACGCCGGCAACGGUGAAACUCAAAGGAAUUGGCGGGG